GUUGGUAAAAUACUUUUUAUUAUUAUUUUAAACAAACAUCAGUUACUUUUGGGUUUAUUGUGUUUAUUUCCUGUUUUAGGUCGAUUCAGUCUGAGAGUCACAGUCCGGGCUCCUCCACAAAUCAUGGAGUCAACCAGGAUGAAACUCAUGAAUACAACUCUCUUCAUCCUGGAGCAGAUGACCCCAGAGAUGUCACAUACUCUCUUAUUGAACUUAAAACCCUUGGAAAGAAGAGGAAGCAUCAUAAACCAGAGCAGAGUGCUGUUUACUCUGAGGUGAAGACGGGAGCUGCAGAGGACAGUCUGAUGGUCAAACGCCCCAAAAAAGAAAAAGCCAAGAAAAAAGCAGGAAGAUCAAGUCCUGCAGCUGAUGCAGCAGUUUAUUCUGAAGUCACAUUAGGAAGCUUUCCUGGUCAGUGAGGAGAGCUGCAGCAGCAAAGCCAAGAAGAAGCUUUUUAUGAAUCCACUGUUGCUCCUCUGCUGCCCAAAUAUCAGACACGCUCACUUUUUAGUGUUUAUGAAGAUGAUAUUGAAUAAUAAUAUAUAGUAUAUAUUAUAAUAUAUAGUAUAUAAUAAUAUAUAUAGACUUGUUACUGUUGUUUAGCAUAAAGCACACAGAGGUGUGUCCUGUUUCAGAUCCAUGCUCUUUAUCUUCAGCUGAUAUCUUUUAUAUUCACUGUUGAACUUUUUUUUUUUUUUUUAUAAAACUUUGAAUGUAUCCUGUUCCAACAGCAGUGAGAAAAAAGUUUGAAGUCUUCGAUUUUAGUAUCUGAUAGCAACGACUUAAAGUCAGCAGAGUUACAUUAGUGCUGGUAUGGACACCAACAAAUACUUGUACUGUCUGAGUUUAAAGAUCUACAUCAUCUAAAAAGGAAUUAUCCAUCUAUGUUCUUCAACUUAUUAAUUCAGAAUCACAGGAGCCUCUUCCAGCUGUCACACACCUGGACAGUUCACCAUUGUGUCACAUGACUAACUCACAGAGACACACAAACAUUCAGGCUCACAUUCACACCUACGACCACUUUAAAAUCACCAGUUAAUCUAACAUGCAGCUGGAGUACCCGGAGAGGGGCCACGCAGACACGGGGAAAACCGAGCCAGGACCUUCCUGCUGUGAGGAGACAGUGCUAACCAGCACACUGCUGCCACCUGCUGGUUUCUUACUACAUUACAUCAGUCAUCUCAGGAAUGCAGCUGUGCAGCAGAUUCAGACUCAUUUAUCCACACACCUUUUUCUGCACUAAAUGUUACCUGUAAAUAAUCCCUCACCACUUGAGAGUAACGUCCUCUUUUCAGGGUAAACUGCUGUGUAAAUAACGUCCAUUCCAA
ensembl:lncRNA